GGCAGAUUCAAGAAAGUACAUUUCUAGUGAGGAACUGAAGAAUCACAACAAACCAGGGGAUCUGUGGAUAUCCAUUCAGGGUAAGGUGUAUGAUGUAUCAGAUUGGGUGAAGGAACAUCCUGGUGGUGAUUUCCCACUGUUAAAUCUUGCUGGACAGGAUGUUACUGAUGCAUUUGUUGCAUUUCAUCCUGCUACUGCUUGGAAGUAUCUUGACAAGUUCUUUAAGGGGUUUUACCUCAAGGAUUAUUCUGUUUCUGAGGUAUCUACGGAUUAUAGAAGGCUUGUGUCUGAGUUCAC
rnacentral:misc_RNA from 1 species